AUUGCAGUCAGCCUGGCCCAAGGUGGCCCAGCUCCUGCUUUUCUUAAGGAGUGGUGCUACCGUUUCCUGUGCACAGGAGAGGUGGAUUUUAGUUGUUUAUCGAAGGAGGAUGUAGCUGACCAAGAAUCUUCCCUACUCAUCAGCAGAGUGAGCACCAUGUCUAGCACACUACUAUGCUUUUUAAUUCAUACCUUUCACUUUCUACAUUUUUCGCUUAACAGUGAACACUUUCAGGUUGAACAUGUGGCUGAUGCACAGUCUCUGAUGUUGUUGGCUGAUGAAGUUAUAAACUGUGGAUACACAAGCCAGAUCAAGCUGGAUAAUAAACAAAACAUCAUUCGACUGAUUCCAAUGCUUCAGCAAGUGAGAAAGGCCAUGGAACUGUAUGGUCUGCUCAGUCAGAUGGCUGCAAACCCUGGAGCUUUACACACUCUUUGUUCCUGGGAAGAUCAUCAAAACAGACGCUGAUUUCAUAAUGAUGAACUGCCGACCACAGCUCAGUGAAAAGGGGACAUCUCCGGAGAGAACUGAAAGAUUAUAAACUUCAUGCAAGAUUUUUGCCAGGAGCUUGAAAUAUCAGUGCUGCAGCUGAGGAGCCCCACUCUCUUGGAGUUCAGCAUGUGCUCCAGUGGUUGACCGGGUAAGCCCACAUUCCCAUCCUCCCUGAUGAAAAGAGACAUUUCAAAAUAACAUUCAUGUUUGACCAGGACUGCAGGGAGCCACUUGGAGAUCACUCCAUUUGUUACCAAACUGUGAGUGCAUGCACUCGUACAGUAACUUUUCCAGUGCAGCAUCUCAACACUUACACUGAAUUCAGAAGACUUAUGAGUGAAGCAGUUAGAUAUGGCGGUGGCUUCUACAGAGUUUAACAGAAAUAGCCCUCUGGUAAUCU